rnacentral:rRNA from 1 species
UACGUAGGGGGCUAGCGUUGUCCGGAAUCAUUGGGCGUAAAGCGCGUGUAGGCGGUUCGGUAAGUCCGCUGUGAAAGUCGGGGGCUCAACCCUCGAAAGCCGGUGGAUACUGUCGGACUAGAGUGCGGAAGAGGCGAGUGGAAUUCCUGGUGUAGCGGUGAAAUGCGCAGAUAUCAGGAGGAACACCGGUGGCGAAGGCGGGUCUCUGGGCCGAUACUGACGCUGAGGAGCGAAAGCGUGGGGAGCGAAUGGG